rnacentral:rRNA from 1 species
GAUGAACGCUGGCGGCGUGCCUAAUACAUGCAAGUCGAGCGAACGGACGAGAAGCUUGCUUCUCUGAUGUUAGCGGCGGACGGGUGAGUAACACGUGGAUAACCUACCUAUAAGACUGGGAUAACUUCGGGAAACCGUAGCUAAUACCGGAUAAUAUUUUGAACCGCAUGGUUCAAAAGUGAAAGACGGUCUUGCUGUCACUUAUAGAUGGAUCCGCGCUGCAUUAGCUAGUUGGUAAGGUAACGGCUUACCAAGGCAUCGAUGCAUAGCCGACCUGAGAGGGUGAUCGGCCACACUGGAACUGAGACACGGUCCAGACUCCUACGGGAGGCAGCAGUAGGGAAUCUUCCGCAAUGGGCGAAAGCCUGACGGAGCAACGCCGCGUGAGUGAUGAAGGUCUUCGGAUCGUAAAACUCUGUUAUUAGGGAAGAACAUAUGUGUAAGUAACUGUGCACAUCUUGACGGUACCUAAUCAGAAAGCCACGGCUAACUACGUG